UUGCAAAAAUGAAUCAAAAACCUAGAGCAACUGCCUACACUUAACACCCUUGUCAAACCUUGAGAAAUUUGAUUUCUCUAGUUUUUACUUUCCUCAGACAUAGGAAACCUAUCCCUAGAGCCUUGGAGUCUCUGGUACCUGUGCAUCUGGAAAAGGGUGACAUUCUCUGAGGAACUUGUCGAAGUCACAGCUCUUUUCAUAAUGGUCACUACACAAGGUUGUCAUUCAAGCUCCUUAACAGUCUCAAGGACUCUGUUAAUGUUAAGUGAGAAGUGUCACAACUUUUCUUUUAGUUGAGGACCUUCACUGUAAGGUGCUGCCAAGAAAAGAAGCUGCAAGGAUAAAUCUGUACACCCCUCUUCUGCUGCUGUUUUUCCUUCUCUGGCCAGGCCACUCCAAGCAGCUCUCCAACCUGGCAGAUGUACAACUCCUGAAGGAUCUAACAUCCAGAAGCUUAGAGGAUGAACUGACCUUGUACAAACUUAGCCAACCUCAGCAAUCUCCCGCCAGAUGUGCGCUUCAUUAUUUAGGUGAUACCACACUGUCAGACUCCUUCUGAAAUGAAGUGGACAUGCCAAUGCAGCGUCUGGUCCUCAGAUCCUUAGCUCCUAUUUGGCCUUGAAGAAAACCC